rnacentral:SRP_RNA from 1 species
GCCGGGUGCGUGCGCGUGCCUGUAAUCCAAGUUACUUGGAGGCUGAGACUGGUGGAUCGUUUGAGCUCAGGAUCUCUGAGCUACAGUGGACUAUGUCGAUCGGGUGUCCCAAUAAGUUCGGUAUCGAUAUGGUGCUCCUGGGGAGGCCGGGACCACCAGGUUGUCUAAGGAGGGGUGCACCGGCCCAGGUCGGAAACGGAGCAGGCCAAAGCCCCCGUGCUGCUCAGUAGUGGGAUCGCGCCUGUGAAUAGAGGCUGUAGUGAAGCCUGAGUAAUACAGCGGACCCAGUCUUCU